rnacentral:rRNA from 1 species
ACGCUCGACACCUACGGAGGCAGCAGUUGGGAAUAUUGGACAAUGGAGGAAACUCUGAUCCAGUGACGCCGCGUGAAGGAAGAAGGUCUUCGGAUUGUAAACUUAUUUUGUCAGGGAAGAAAAAUGACUGUACCUGAAGAAAAAGCACCGGCUAACUACGUGCCAGCACGCCGUAGUAAUCUGGACGGCGGGCGUGGACGAAGGC